rnacentral:rRNA from 1 species
GAUUUGGCUGGCCGGUCCGCCUCACCGCGUUCACUGGUCCGGCCGAAUCUUUCCUUCUGGCGAAGCGUCAUGGCCUUAACCGGCCGUGGCGGGGAACCAGGACUUUUACUGUGAAAAAAUUAGAGUGUUCAAAGCAGGCAAUCGCUUGGAUACAUUAGCAUGGAAUAAUGGAAUAGGACAAUGGUUCUAUUUGUUGGUUUCUAGGACCGUUGUA